GAGUACUCUAUAGCUGUAUAAAUGGUUGUGAGCCUUCAUGUGGUUGUUGGGAAUUGAAUUUUUGGGACCUCUGCUUGCUCUGAUCAACUCUGCUAGCUUAGUCUCUGCUCACUCUGGCCCAAAGAUUUAAUUAUUAUUAUAUAUAAGUACACUGUAGCUGUCUUCAGACUCACCAGAAGAGAGCAUCAGAUCUCAUUAUGGAUGGUUGUGAGCCACCAUGUGGUUGCUGGGAUUUGAACUCAGGACUUUUGGAAGAGCAGUCAGUGCUGCUGACCGCUGAGCCAUCUUGCCAGCCUGAGAGACUUUUUCUUAAGUAAUUUAAGUAGGAAGACUCAGUUUUAGUCUUGAUCUUUUGAGGAGGAAGAUCCACUUCUAUUCUCGCCCACACCUUCUGCCGGCAGCCUAUACAAAGGACACCGGAAAAGGAAGAGUUUGAUCUUUGCCUGCUUGGCCUCACUCUUGCUGGCAAGCCUAUUCCUUCACUGACAUUAGAAUUUACUUCCUUGGGAUUCCAGCAUAUACUGAAGACCAACUCCAGUCUUCAAUUGGACAAGACAUUCAAGCUCAUGAACUGAGCAACUACUGGAUUCUUUGACUUUCUUAUUGGUCAACAGCCAUUGUUAGACUAGCUGGACCACUGUUAGACAGUCUGUAAGCCAAUCUAAUAAAUAUCUCUCUCUUUCUCUCUCAUCUAUUUAUAGAUUCAUUCUAUAAGUUCUGUUCCUCUAGAGAACCCUGACUAAUACAAGGCAUUAUUAUUUUUUUCAAGUCCACACUUAUUUAGUUAGAGUUGCUUAAUUUUCUUCUUAUGCCCUUCAGUGUCUUGGAACCCCAUCCAAAAUAUCAUAUUCUCUGUUGUUUUCAUCUCCCUUGCUUUCCCUUGCCCAUAGCAGUUAGCUACUCAAUGUAACUGGUUUUGAGUAAACCUGAAGGUGUUGUGUAUUCUUUGUCUGGCCACUCGCCCUUCUUUAGAAGUUGGUCUUCUUCAGUGAACAUGAGGCUACAGAGACAUAGCUUGAAGGUCACACCACCACCUAAGCAUAUGGUCACCAUUGAUGCCGCCCCUUAACUCUCAACAAAGGGAUGCCUGACAGGUGUCGCCACUGUAAACCUCCUCCUCCUGCUCUCAUGUGCUUCUUCAGAAGGAGGUAUACAGUGAACACUUGUGGGGACUUGGGCUUCACUUCUACCUGGGGAAAUUAUGUGAAAUUAUUUGUCAUGAGAAAAUUACCUCUUCUGUUUAUUUGAUGACUCAUUUACGCAUACCACUGUGGACUUAUGGGUAUUUAUUCUACUUCCAGUGUAGACUUAUGGGUAUUUAUUCUGCCUCCAGUGUGGACUUAUGGGUAUUUAUUCUGCCUCCAGUGUGGACUUAUGGGUAUUUAUUCUACACCCAUUGUGGGCUUAUGGAUAUUUAUUGUACCCCCAUUGUGAACUUAUGGGUAUUUAUUGAACCCCGAUGUGCACUUAUAGAUAUAUAUUCUGCUCCUAGUGUGGACUUAUGGGUAUUUAUUCUGCUCCUAGUGUGGACUUAUGGGUAUUUAUUCUAUCCCCAGUGUGGACUCAUCGGUAUUUAUUUUGCCUCCAGUGUGGACUUAGGAGUAUUUAUGCUGCCCCAGGGUUAUGCUCUAACAUAUUAUGCUGUUCUGUUGCUUAUACUGUCCCCAUUUGGAUCCUCCACUCUUCCACUUGGCUUCAGAUCUUCUUAUGCAUACUCCAUUCCCUGUAGGGUUUUUUUUUCUUUCCUUUCCUUUUCUUUUUUUGUUUUGUUUUAGCAACUUGUUUAAUUUUUAAUAUGCAGACUUCUUUCUCACUCUUCUAAUAGGAUCUAGCAUUAGUGCUAUCUGGGCAUCUUCUUUUUCUUGUCUUUAAGUUAAUCUAUAAAAAUGAAAACUAGAGAUACAUGAAUGUUAUGACUUUAUUGUGUUCUCUUGACAUAUUUUGACAUUUUUUCUCCUUUGCUUUUUGCACUUUCAUUAUUUUACGCAUUUUCACAUGUCUUUUUAAAGUGACUCUGUACAUUCUUUAAAUAAUUAGAUGUUCUGAUUAUAUUUUAACAAUGGAUCAUGCACUUUGCCUCAAUUUCUCAUUGCUCUACAUGAUUCUAUUCCCUUUUU
rnacentral:lncRNA from 1 species